UACGAAGGGGGCUAGCGUUGUUCGGAAUUACUGGGCGUAAAGCGCACGUAGGCGGAUUGCUAAGUCAGGGGUGAAAUCCUGGAGCUCAACUCCAGAACUGCCUUUGAUACUGGCGAUCUCGAGUCCGGGAGAGGUGAGUGGAACUGCGAGUGUAGAGGUGAAAUUCGUAGAUAUUCGCAAGAACACCAGUGGCGAAGGCGGCUCACUGGCCCGGUACUGACGCUGAGGUGCGAAAGCGUGGGGAGCAACAGG
rnacentral:rRNA from 1 species